UAGGAUAGCCACUAGAAGUGGAGGGUAAUACUGUAUAAUCCCUGCGGGGGAAAGAUUUAUCGCUACAUGAUGAGCCUAUGUUAGAUUAGCUAGUUGGUGGGGUAAUGGCCUACAAAGGCAGUGAUCUAUAGCUGGUCUGAGAGGAUGAUCAGCCACACUGGAACUGAGACACGGUCCAGACUCCUACGGGAGGCAGCAGUGGGGAAUAUUGGACAAUGGACGCAAGCCUGAUCCAGCUAUGCCGCGUGAGUGAGGAAGGCCUUAGGGUUGUAAAACUCUUUCAGUGGGGAAGAUAAUGACGGUACCCACAGAAGAAGUCCCGGCAAACUCCGUGCCAGCAGCCGCGGUAAUACGGAGGGGGCAAGCGUUGUUCGGAAUUAUUGGGCGUAAAGGGCAUGUAGGUGGUUUGGUAAGUUAAAGGUGAAAUGCCAGGGCUUAACCCUGGAGCUGCUU
rnacentral:rRNA from 1 species